GACGAACGCUGGCGGCGUGCUUAACACAUGCAAGUCGAGCGGUAAGGCCUCUUCGGGGGUACACGAGCGGCGAACGGGUGAGUAACACGUGGGUGACCUGCCCUCAGCUCUGGGAUAAGCCUGGGAAACUGGGUCUAAUACCGGAUAUGACCUCUCAUCGCAUGGUGGGUGGUGGAAAGUUUUUUCGGCUGGGGAUGGGCCCGCGGCCUAUCAGCUUGUUGGUGGGGUGAUGGCCUACCAAGGCGACGACGGGUAGCCGGCCUGAGAGGGCGACCGGCCACACUGGGACUGAGAUACGGCCCAGACUCCUACGGGAGGCAGCAGUGGGGAAUAUUGCGCAAUGGGCGGAAGCCUGACGCAGCGACGCCGCGUGGGGGAUGACGGCCUUCGGGUUGUAAACCUCUUUCGACCGGGACGAAGGGUGACUGACGGUACCGGUAGAAGAAGCACCGGCCAACUACGUGCCAGCCGCCGCAGUAACAC
rnacentral:rRNA from 1 species